UAUUGGAUAAAGAGAAUAUUAUUUCAUGAAAGUAAUAUUGCUUGUACCAAGUUGAUAACAGUAAAGAAAGAAAAGCUAUAAGAUGGGAGCCCCAUCAACAUCCUCAAUCGCCAAUCUUGGCAAGAGGCUUGAACUGUGUGUUGAGGUCCUCAGAGAUAUUUAUACGAGAGGACCUCUAUCAGUGGAGGACAUUGAUCUUGGGGAG
rnacentral:lncRNA from 1 species